GUCCUUCUGUUUAUAUUGAAGGUCAGGCCUGCCCAAUGAUUAUUUAAAUGGCCGCAGUAUAUUGACUGUGCAAAGGUAGCAUAAUCAUUAGUUUCUUAAUUAGAAGCUGGUAUGAAUGGUUUGAUGAAAAAUAAGCUGUCUCUUUUUUAUUUAUAGAACUUUAUUUUUUAGUGAAAAAGCUUAAAUGAGUUAAAAAGACGAGAAGACCCUAUAGAGUUUUAUUAAUAAUAAGUUUUUAAAUAUUAAGAAUUAUUUUUUUAUAAGUUUACUAUUGAUUUUGUUGGGGUGAUUUGAAAAUUAAAAUAACUUUUCAUUAUAAAAACAAUAAUGUUUGAUUUUUUGAUCCUAUAAUUUAGAUUAAAAGAUUAAAUUACCUUAGGGAUAACAGCGUAAUUUUUUCUUAAAGUUCUUAUUGAAGAAAAAGUUUGCGACCUCGAUGUUGGAUUAAAGUUAAGUUUUGGUGAAGAAGCUAAAAUUUUAGGUCUGUUCGACCUUUAAAACUUUACA
rnacentral:rRNA from 1 species